AGAGUUUGAUCAUGGCUCAGAACGAACGCUGGCGGCAGGCCUAACACAUGCAAGUCGAACGAGAAGCCACCUUCGGGUGGUGGACAGUGGCAGACGGGUGAGUAACGCGUGGGAACGUGCCUUUCGGUUCGGAAUAACCCAGGGAAACUUGGGCUAAUACCGGAUACGCCCUUCGGGGGAAAGAUUCAUUGCCGAAAGAUCGGCCCGCGUCGGAUUAGCUAGUUGGUGGGGUAAUGGCUCACCAAGGCGACGAUCCGUAGCUGGUCUGAGAGGAUGACCAGCCACACUGGGACUGAGACACGGCCCAGACUCCUACGGGAGGCAGCAGUGGGGAAUAUUGGACAAUGGGCGAAAGCCUGAUCCAGCCAUGCCGCGUGGGUGAAGAAGGCCUUAGGGUUGUAAACCCCUUUCAGCGGGGAAGAUAAUGACGGUACCCGCAGAAGAAGUCCCGGCUAACUCCGUGCCAGCAGCCGCGGUA
rnacentral:rRNA from 1 species